rnacentral:misc_RNA from 1 species
GAACUCCUCAUCCCCAGUCAGGUUUGAAAUCUGACCAGUGGCUGGACUUGGAGGCGUGCUGGCCGUUUCAAUUCGGUCGGCUCCUCUUGAAUAUAUUAGCUUGGACUUGUUUCAAAGGCUUCAUGGCGUGAUAACUAUCUACGCUUUGAACUGUCUGUGAAAUAAUGUGAGUCUGGCUUCUAGUCGUCCUCUGGACAAUCACUUCAUA